ACAAGGUUUUUCAGCAGAGCAGAAGAGAGUUCUCGUUAGCAGAGGAUAUGCAGAGCACCUGGCAGCAAAGAUAGUAAUUGGGGUUGGCAGCUGAAGGAAAGUGUCACUGAGCCAAAAAUCAGAAGGUGAAUGGAGAGCAGGAGGAGGCAGACAAGGCAAGAAGUUCUUCUCGGAAGGUUCUGCAUUGCUCUCUCCUGGAAGUGUUUUGGCUCUGAAGGUGUUUCGUGUGAACGUUGUGAAGGAAUUGUGCUUUCUGCAGCUGCAUAACAAGAGAAGCCUGAUAUGGUAAGCCACCAGCAGCUCUGCCAGAGGGAACAGCAGAGAUCGAUGUAGUCAAUGGUAGUUUGUAUUUUGGACUGUAGAAGUUGAAGGAGAAAUUAAAGAAGAUGUGAAACCAACAAAACAAGGAAAGAGGAAGGAUAAAGUGAUAGAGAAGCAGUGAAUAGCAAGGAAGAGAAUCGAGCCGAAGAACUAGAAAGAUUAUUUCAAAUGGUUGAAGAGAGGCAUGAGAAGGAAGUGGGAAGUUCAAAACAAACAAGAUACAGAAUGUGGGGGUGAGCACUGAAACUCCUGCCGUAGGAUGCUGAGCUUUCGUGCUACAGGGUCCCAUUCUCCCAGCUGGCAUCUGAGCAAGGGCAAAGUGCUUGCCUCUGAUCCACAUCGUGCGUUGCUUCAUGGCUCUGUGCCGCGCAUUCAGGUGGAGCUGCUGUCAUUGAUGUCCAUGCAAGGAGUAAGGGUAGACUACGCAACAGGGAGACUCUUUGCCCUACAACUGAAGGUAAAUGAACUGGAACGACUAACUGAAAGAGAAGAUCUAUGAAUUCAGUAAGCUGUGAUGUGGUAGUACUGAAAAGAGUGGAAGAGUCUGUAGGCUCGCUUACACAGGACAGUGAAAUUUGUAGGCACUGCCGUGCGCUAGAAAACCAUGAGAAAAGAGAGAAAUGAGUCGUCCUGUGCUCUCUGAGGUCUGGGCUUUGGAUAGACCAAAGAGGUAUUUUAAUAUCAAAAUCCUCUUGGUUCUAAAGCUCAUUGGAACUAGCAGAAAAUCUGUUCAAGGAAAGCGCUUUUUUUUUUCCAGUGGUAGUGAACUUCUGGAACUGAUUGUCUCAGGAGGCUGUGGAGACAACCCCAGCAUGCUCAUAAGGCAAUUAGACAAAUCUAUGGUUAACAAAUACAUAGAAAGACAUUGGAGGAAGGAACCAAGCAGAGAUAUCUCCACUUGGAUUUUCCCUAAUCCAAUAAAUAUGAAUGUUGGAGAAGACAGUGGAUCAGGACAAGUAAUAUAGUCUCUCCCAGACAGAGUAGAUGGACCCAGGAGGGAAUUUUCUUUGCUCUUAAUAAAGGAUUAUAGCCCAUACAUCCAAGAUAAUUGAUUAAGUACAACUUAAAAUUCUUUUGUCUGUACUAGAAAAUCUGUAACUGUAGCCAUGAAAUUUAAUCACCAAAUGUGAAAAUUACUCAUAGGAAGACAACUUUAAAUGGUAUUUAAGAAUGUCACAAUUAUAAACAGGAAAAAAUCCAUAAAUUCCACUAUGUUCUUGUGGCUUCUUUAUGUAUGUGUCUGAAGUUAUUGUACCUUUUUAGAGAAGGAAAUAACUUGAUAUCCAGGAGAAAAUCGCUGUCAAGGAAACCUAUUAAUUUAAACAUUCUUCCAUGAUUGACAGGUUACAACACCCACAGCUAAUAUGUAGUUACUUAAUGGCAGACUUCAGAGUUCACAGAUAGAUUAAAAGAAAUCAGGAAACUAGUUCUUACUUUAUGGUGAAAUAGCAUAAUAUGUAUCAGGCUUUUUUUUUUUUCUUUUUAAAGCAGUCUGCUUGUUAAGAGAGCAAAACAGCUCAUGUACAUCAUAAGAAAAGCAGAAAAUAUAAAGGAAGUUGAAUGUAUAUUGGAUUGUUUUUAUGUAGAGAACAGUAUAGAUAGCAUUUAAUGACACUUAUUUUUCAAGCUGUUCUGCACAUUAAAGACUUGGGUCUUAAGUUUAGGCACAAGAUUAAUAACAUCAGCAAUAUACAAUGGGAAAAUAUGUGAUGUUUGGAACCUGCAUUGCGAUUUAACUUUCCUCUAAAUGAAUGAUUGCUCUUUUUGCAGAAUAUUUCCUGUGUUUAUCUGAAGACUGAUAUUUUAUAGGUUUUUAAAGAUAAAUCAUGUUUGGCACACUGUAAGUUUUAUGUUUGAAGUACCUUCAUUUCUUUUCAAUAGUGAUGUGCAGUUUAGUAAUCCUUGUAAUGUCUUUGUCAGAGGAAAGAGCUUUGUCAGAGAUCAGUCUGCAGGAAACAGAUUUAAGAGAGCAGCUAAAAUAGUGAGGAAAUUUGGGAAAGCGUAUCUGAGCAACUUAACUGAGAAAAUGGUAAAUGAGAAAAAACACAGGAUCUUUUCAGAUUAUGAUAUGCAGUUCAUGUGUCUCCUG
rnacentral:lncRNA from 1 species